CAUGUGGCCAUUGUCGCCCUCUCCUAUAAAGGAUGUUAGUUCAGACCGUCUUCACUGCAGCAGCUUACUCCUCACACUCAGAGCAAAGAGGAAGAAGAAGAAGCUUUGGAGCAUCCAUCAGACAUCUCUCUCCGACAGACAGGUAUUGUUCAGACUGACAGACAAAAAGGAAGAUGGCUGGCCUGUGUUGGAUAUCUGUGCUGCUGGCAGUCAGUCUGUCUAUUGGAGACUGUGAGCCGUUGGAUAUCGGUUACGUAAAGAGAAUUGAUGCACGCAUCCAUGAGAUCUACAAAUACGGAGGGAAGCAGUAUAGUGUGGCAGUAAACAUCCCAGAGGACCCACAGACAACUAAGGAGUUGAAAGGGCUUAUUUUACCUGUCGAUUGGGUCGAUGCGAACACAUUUCUUGAAGCAGGCCAGGUGUACAAAGGCAACAAUGCUGUUGUGGCAAUUCCUCAGGGCGAAGAACCCUACACUGAGCAUGCAGAGAAACAGGUACUAGACAAUUUAGGAGAGUUAGCUAACAUACGUGAGGGUUACAUUCUGGUCCUCUACUCCUGGCUUUCUCCAUGUGGCCAGUGUACAGAGGAAGGAGGUAACUUCAAUAUCUUAAAUAAGAUCGAAGAGCUAAAAAACAGAGGGAAAAGCUUUGCCCUUGUGUUUAAUACAGUAUAUGCUUGGAAAGAGGACAACAACGGCAAAAAGAAGGACAUUCCUGAAGCUGACAUUAAAAAUACAUUUCAUAGUCUUAGACAAGUAAUAGUUGACGACAACAUUUUCCGUUGUUACAAGCCAAAUAAUAGAGUAUUCCAAUGUUUCAAGUGCUUCGUAGAUGCUUCACCAGAAGCUGAUCCUGUGGAUGAGUGUGUUAAAAUUCAGGAAUAAAUGUGUGUAGGCCAAAAGAAGAGCUGACCUAGGCAUUGACACAACUGGAUCCUACUAACAUGUUACUUUGAAAAGUUCAUUAAUGCUCAACAAUGCACUUGCUGCUUUAAAUGGCUAGAUGUUACACUGGCACGCUAAAGACCCAAACACACUUAUCUUUGGUCACAAACUAAUCAGCAGAGCUUUCAUCCAUUUUUUGCAACAUAACUCUGAGGUUUAUUUAAUGUUUAGCAUAAGAUUGACUUAUUUUGGUGUUGUUCUAUGUUCAUGUUGUGAUUUAUCUCCUGUGCUUACUGCAGUUUGACUCAGUGUUGGUUUGAGAGGCUUUUUUUGUUCUAUCCAAAUAACAGAACAAAAAAAAGCCAACAUAAUUACAGUGCACUGAGAUUUAGAGUUUUAACAGACACACAAUAAAUGAAUGGCUGUAUCAAAUGUAAAUGUUGUGCUUAUGUAACGGCCUUCAUUCUUUAAACAUAAUUUGUAAACAAUUUAACAAAUGAUGGAGGGACGUUUGAUAUUUGGUGCAUGUUGAAAAAGUGUUCAAAACAUAUUCUACCCUAUUUCAAAAAGCCAAAGAAAUGUUUUUAAAUGAUAUUGUUUAUUGUAUAUCAACCUCAGUUAUAGGGUUUAAGUGAUUGUACUCAAUACUCGUGUUAAACUUUACCAAAUGAUUUCUGCUUUUUCUGAUUAAAGCUUUGCUAAGCAUUCU